rnacentral:tRNA from 7 species
GGGCCUCUAGCUCAAUUGGCAGAGCAGCGGACUUUUAAUCCGCGGGUUGUGGGUUCGAGUCCCACGGGGCCCACCA